GGAGAGCCCAAUGAAUCAAGAAAGACUCCUUCGAGGUGGCGCAGGCUUGAAGGAUUGACAGGUUAGCUGUCGAGGUAGGGGGCGAGGUUCCGGGCAGAGGAAACCACUGGACAAGCGGAAACAGCGUGAGCAGAGGCACGGAGGCGUGAAACUGCUUGUUCUACCCUGGGAUCGCCCUCACACCCCUUUGUCUCCAGACAAGGAGGCGAAAAGGGGGAGAAAACCAGUUCGAUCUCUCACGGCAGGCCUUGGUUUGGUGACUGGAACCAGCUGCUGGAGCGACCCCAAAGCACCGAGAAUGAGAAAGAGAGGGUGGGGAAUCUAGAACCCGGAAGAAAACCCCCACCCAAGAUCCCAGAAUGCAGAGGAGUCAAGACCGAGGACCUCGAUCCUAACUUCUUCGGAAUCCAAGUCGAAAGGCCCUGGUAUUUUGCAGAACCUGGAGGACGAAAAGACGUGCAAGUGGAUGGGAGAAAAAGACGGACGAGAGCCUCAGCGUUUCACCACGACCCCCUCAGCCUUGUUCCUCUCUCUUCUCCCGCAACACCUCCUCCCCCCUAAGAGGCAGUGAUGCUACAGGAAUUCACUCUGAGGCGAGGCGCUGCCUGGGUCAAGAGGUCUCCAGAGGACAAAGAGGACUGGGCCAAAUUGAAAUCCUCUGAGAAUUCACCAAGUUUAGUUGUAACGAAACAGAAAACCUUGAGGAGACGCACGAAUGGGGAGGGAGGAGAAGCGGAUCACCUCUUUUCUUGCCAGCACCCAUUCCUGCGUACCUUUCCUCCUUUUCCAGCUGCCAAAGCAGCCGAGUGAGAAUCGGGUAUGAAGCAGAAGGAACACGACCUAGGAUCUGUAGAAGAGGUCAGUUUGGACUCUAGUCCCACCACCUUCAGAAGCCUCCUGAAAUCAGUUUAAAUAUGAGCUAGGACACUCUCACACCUGAUAACACAAGUGCUGACCAUGAAGUAAAACACUCGCAAAAAAAGGGGCAUCGCACUUUCCCAAGUUUAUACUUUUCAGUUUUUCCCCCUGUUUAAUGGACUUGAACAAAUGCGCAGCAUAACCACAUCUAGAGUGAGAAGUCAUUGGUAGGUCAGGACAGCAACUUAAAAGCUUAUUUCAAAGAUCUUUUUAAAAAAAAUAUCGAUUUGUUCUUCUUGCAAGCUAAUUUUGCCAUACCCUGUGUUAGAACUUUUAACUCAAGCUGGGGAUAAAAACUCUAACCUUGGCCUUCAGGCUCAAAGGUAAUUCAGCAAAAGUAAAAUAGAGAAGGGGGGCCCACAUCAAUGGA